rnacentral:rRNA from 1 species
UUCCUGUAUGAUCACGGAAGUUAAGCAACGUUGAGCCUGGUCAGCACCGAGAAGAGUGACCGCUUGGGAAUACCAGGUGCUGUAAG